UACGGGGGGGGCAAGCGUUGUUCGGAAUUACUGGGCGUAAAGGGCUCGUAGGCGGCCAACUAAGUCAGACGUGAAAUCCCUCGGCUUAACCGGGGAACUGCGUCUGAUACUGGAUGGCUUGAGAUUGGGAGAGGGAUGCGGAAUUCCAGGUGUAGCGGUGAAAUGCGUAGAUAUUCGGAAGAACACCAGUGGCGAAGGCGACACACUGGCCCGUUACUGACGCUGAGGCGCGAAAGCGUGGGGAGCAAACAGG
rnacentral:rRNA from 1 species